GAAGAAAGAGAUGUGAUCGACGGCAGGAGAAAGGGCUAGGCUUUCUCAGUCCUCUGCUCGCUCCUCUCAAAUGGCAACAAGCAAGGGAGUUUGGGAGCGAUGGGAGCUCACACUCUUUGAACUCUGUUCCCAUUUUACCACAACCCCACCAAUUCCUUGCCUUUUUUUUUGUCUGGUAAGCCUUUCAAUUCUCUAUUUUCCCAUUUCGUUUAUUUGGAUUUAGACGGCAUAUAAAUAGAGAGAAUUUCAUAAACCAAAAAGAAAAUUUUGAUUCUGACAUAUUGGGAUAGUUGGAAUUCGGAAGGCAUCAAUCAGUAGAUUUGAAAGAAAAAAACUUUAAUCUUCUAGCAAAAUAAAACACAACCAUUGAUUACACAUGUUUGGAAUUUGAAGCAGCCGGAAAAACCAAUUCUCACAAUGAUAGAAAUCAGAGAAAAAUAUUAUGUUUCUUUAUGGAUAAACAUUGUUGGGAGAGAAAAGAAAGGUUUUUUUUUUUUAUGUGUGGUGAAUGUAUAAUUGUAUAUGCCAAUGUGUAUAAAAUUUUGUGGCAGGAAUGGGUUGUAUCCGGUUGAAACCAAAAUACUGGGGCCAAUCUUUUCUUUGUGCAAGUCAGGUAUGAUAAUAGAGUAAAGAUGUCAUAGAUGUAACAUCCAUGGCUAAUGGUUAAAGCUCACUUUUUUGGUAUGUAAUCAUGUGGAUGUCAUUGAACUUCAUAGAAAUUCAAUGUAGGAAAGUAAGUUUUCAAGCAUUGGAUAUGGCAUUUUAUUUUCUUGGUAAAGUCUUUCCAUAGCUUAGUUUGAAGCCUGGUAUCAAAUGAACGGUAUUCCCUCCUCCUGCUUCCCUCUUCUCUCUAUUUUACAUUAUGAUUGUGAUCAGGUAAUUAAGAGUCAUGAAGACCGUUGACCUCUUUGGGUCAAUGAUGUGCCUUCCACAUAGUUAGCUUGAUUUUUUAUUGUUCCAAUCCUUAGUUGGAUUUUAUUGUACUUAGUGUUUGGGGUUGAGGAUGUUCACAGGAUUUUAGAGGACAUCUCGUUCAUCCCCUUUCAAACUCUUUUGUCAUUAAUAAAAUCCAUAUUUGUUACCCAAAAAAAACAAAGGAAAAAAGGGCUUACUUUGAGGUUACUAGUUCUACUCAACCCUGACCGAAGGGCAGGCAUAUGCACUCAUAUGACUUAUGAUCAUAUUGUUGCGUAAAGGUGGAUUUCUUCUUCAUUCAUUUGGCAGAUAGUGGUCAUCACUGCAAUGGAUGUAGCUUUUGCUGGUCUAAUGGUAUAUAGAAUAGUGAUAGUUUGUAUGUCUCACUCUUUUAAAUCACUUGCUUUGUACCACUGGGAAAAUAGGAUUGCAGCUCCAAAUAAUUAAACUUGAUUCAAAUAGGAUUGCGACUCUUAACAUGCAUUCACCACACUGGCUUAUUGUUUUAUUUUGUCCCAACAAGGAAACUUCAGACAUACUGUCUUUUGAUCAUUGAUGAAUCAUAGGCAGUUAGGAUUUUGGCCUCUAAAUGAUUUAGUGGUCAUUACUCUGUUGCUCUUUCCUUAAUAAUCUAUUGUUCUUAUUUCUUCAAAAUUAUGAUCACUAUGCAGGUUAUGAUGAGGGCUUGAAUAUUUGACUGAGUAGGGGAAGAAAAAAUUCUUAUGCAUGUUCAAGUAUCAUUUAGUGCAUAUCUCCCCACUCCCCUCAAUGGGAUCAAAACAAGAUGUCAGGUCCCCUGAUCAACCUUGAGGUAUCAGUUCUGUUUUGUGGUUAAUUUUAUUAUCAUUAGUUUCAAGUAACUUUCAGUUAUCAGUGUGGGACAAAAAGCUUUUGCUGUAUAAUGUGCUGUUAGUGUACUUACUGUUACCUGAACAAAGCUCUACAAGCGAGCAGUUGUGCACAGGCACAAACAUCAUUUAUCUUUCGUAUCGUUUAGGGGUUUUUACAAUCCUAUUGCUGUUUUAUCAAUGAACCCUUGACUAGCAUUUUGGUUCAAUGUUGUCACAUAACAGAAUCUUGGGGACAAAAUUGAGGGGCUGUUGUCUGAAAAUAUACUCAGUAAAGUUUCCGUUGAUUGUUAUUUCAACCUGGCCUUUCAACAUCUUCGCCAAGAUGGGCAAGUAAAUUCUAUAUAGCAAUUUGCCUUUCAAUCUGGUAUAUUUGAUAUGGGCCUCACAUUCAUGUGUAAACUUUGUAUAUGGUUGUAUUACUCAUUGGCUCACAGUUAAAUGUGAUAGCAAAAGGAUUUUCUAAGUUCAAUGUAUAAUGUUUGUUGUGAACUUUAGGUCAAUUAAUGCCUGGAUGCAAUUCGUAGCAUAUGGAUGGAGGAUGAUGCACAGGGGAUGUUCAAAGAUAGCUGUCUUCUGGAUUACACUUUAUAAUCCACAGCUUCAGCUCCUACUUUAAUGGUUGCGGUAUUUGUGAGAGACCAUUUCAAGGGACUGAGAACAAGCAGGAAGUUGCUAGCAAGUUAGUAGUGAAAAAGGAUCGCCUUCGGAAUGGGUGGAGUUAUAAAAUUGCACUGAAAUUUUUUUCUUAUCCCAUCUAGUUUGUUGAAUUGAUUGGGCAUUUCCAUGCAUCAAAGUAAUAUAUUUUGGACAAGAAUUUGUGAAUUGUUUUCGUGUAAUAUGUGUACAUGCAUAUAAAGAUAUUGAAAAU
rnacentral:lncRNA from 1 species